rnacentral:rRNA from 1 species
AUACGGAAGGUGCGAGCGUUAAUCGGAAUUACUGGGCGUAAAGCGCACGUAGGUGGCUUGGUAAGUCGGAUGUGAAAGCCCCGGGCUCAACCUGGGAACUGCAUUCGAUACUGCCGAGCUAGAGUACGAAAGAGGGGGGUGGAAUUCCAGGUGUAGCGGUGAAAUGCGUAGAGAUCUGGAGGAACACCAGUGGCGAAGGCGGCCCCCUGGUUCGAUACUGACGCUGAGGUGCGAAAGCGUGGGGAGC